AUCGAGAGAUAGACCAGUGGGGAAACUGACUUAACCCUAUUACUGAUUUACAUUACAUGUAUUCAUUUAGCAGACGCUUUUAUCCAAAGUGACUUCCAAGACAGAGCUUUACAAAAGUGCAUAAGUCAAUGAUCAUAAACAACGAGAUAGCCCCAAAAACAUUACGUGCAGCCAAAACAUGAAGCAAACAUUGUGAAAAGCAAAUAAGUGCCAAUUGGAAGAAACCUAAGAGCAUGGAGUUAAACACAUUACAAUCAAACAACAUGAACUUCAAAAGUGCAAGAGUGUACCUGUAGGAAAGCAACCAACAAUAAUAUAAUUCACAGCAAGUAGCCUACAAGUAGUUAAAUCAGUUAAUGACGUAACAAGUGCAACCAGUUCCUCAAUAAGUGUCAUUGUGUUCCUGGAGGAAAUGAACUAACAUUUGAUCCAACAAAUCUUGUUCUAUCAAGUCACGUUGUACUCCUGGAACAAGUGUGUCUUUAGCCUUUUCUUGAAGGUGGGAAGACAGUCAGUAUCUCUGAUGGAGGUGGGGAGGUGAUUUCACCACUGGGGGGCCGGACAGGAGAAGAGUUUGGGUUGGGAGCGGGCGCUCUUGAGAGGUGGGACCACCAGACGGUUGUCAGAAGAAGACCGAAGGUGGCGGAUGGGGCUGUAAGGCUGGAAGAGAGACUGGAUGUAGUCAGAUUCAGUCCCGUUCACCGCUCGGAAGAUCGGGGUCAGACGUCCAAUCAUCAGCCGGAGUCUGGGAUCACCUGCAAGACCGUCUCCACCCUAGUCUCCAUGGAGAUGUGUCAGUACAUGACUGUGGUCUUCAGGAAGAGACGACCAUCUGUGGAACAGGGGAAGCCCCAGUCACUGUCCCAUAGGACCGCAUGGACAGCCUGCGCUGGGCCUCCUGCAGCCUCCUCUUGGUCUUCUUCUCCUUCUUCAGACGCUUCUGGAUCAAGACUGACCCAGGGAGGACCACAGGAGAACAUAGAAGAACAUGGGAGGACCACAUGAGAACACAGGAGAACAGGGGAACACAGGAGAACACAGGAGGAUAUAGGAAGACCACAGGAGAAAACAGGAAAACACAUGACAACAUCAACAACGUCAUGUCAACAUUAAGAACUCAUUGGUAGAACUUUGAACCACGUCAAGCUUAUACCCAUCUACUCUGUCCCCUGAUAAAUUAUGGG